AGUGAACGCUGGCGGUAGGCCUAACACAUGCAAGUCGAACGGCAGCACAGUAAGAGCUUGCUCUUACGGGUGGCGAGUGGCGGACGGGUGAGGAAUACAUCGGAAUCUACUUUUUCGUGGGGGAUAACGUAGGGAAACUUACGCUAAUACCGCAUACGACCUACGGGUGAAAGCAGGGGAUCUUCGGACCUUGCGCGAUUGAAUGAGCCGAUGUCGGAUUAGCUAGUUGGCGGGGUAAAGGCCCACCAAGGCGACGAUCCGUAGCUGGUCUGAGAGGAUGAUCAGCCACACUGGAGCUGAGACACGGUCCAGACUCCUACGGGAGGCAGCAGUGGGGAAUAUUGGACAAUGGGCGCAAGCCUGAUCCAGCCAUACCGCGUGGGUGAAGAAGGCCUUCGGGUUGUAAAGCCCUUUUGUUGGGAAAGAAAAGCAGCAGGUUAAUACCCCGCUGUUCUGACGGUACCCAAAAAAUAAGCACCGGCUAACUUCGU
rnacentral:rRNA from 1 species